rnacentral:rRNA from 1 species
CCCUUAGAUGUUCUGGGCCGCACGCGCGCUACACUGAUGCAUUCAACGAGUUUCUUCCUGGUCCGAGAGGAAUGGGUAACCUUUUGAAAGUGCAUCGUGAUAGGGAUAAACUAUUGCAAUUAUUGGUCUUCAACGAGGAAUUCCUAGUAGACGUAGUUCAUCAGACUGCAUCGAUUACGUCCCUGCCCUUUGUACACACCGCCCGUCGCUCCUACCGAUUGAAUGCUCAGGUGAGCCAUUCGGACUUUCAUCAUGCUGGUUUCCAGUUUUGAUGAAGGAAAGUCUUGCGAACCUUAUCAUUUAGAGGAAGGAGAAGUCGUAACA